CAUUAGCAUAAUUCACAAGAAAACAAUACAUCUUUCAAAGGUUUAAUUUUGAAGAUUGGAGAAAAAAUAUGUUUUGGUAAGGAAAUUAUCAAAGACAAGAUGGUGGCUUACAUUACUUAGCAAAAACUGGUCGUAUCCUGCGGUGAUUUUGGUUAUCUUGGUCUGUGAAUACAAGCAAAAAUUAAAAAAAAUAGAUCGAUCUUGGAAGCUUUGCAUAUUUUAGAAGGCCAAAAAUUGUUUCAAACUGGCUGAAAUUUUAUUCGGACAUGACAACUGACUGUAUCGAAAUUUAUCUCGGCCCUACUGAUUUUUAGUUGGCGAGGUCCGAGGACCGACAGCCUUUCGCACAGACUGCAAUUUACAGUUGGUAUAGUAAUUUUUAGUGUUUGAUGAUCAGAAGAUUUUUUUUCCUUCUGAAAAUCAUGGAGUUGAAUAAUUUAAAUCUGUGUGAAAGCGCAAAGAGAAAGAGACUGAAAAUUAAUUUAUUAUUUCUAUGGACAAUAUAGAUGUAAUACAUUUGUAAUCAAACAUGUGGGUCAAUUUCCAACAGUAGUUGAAUUAUGACAAAGUAUUUUUAAUAAUUUUAUUUCACUUUUAGCUACUUGAAAAUUUCAUGCUGGAUGUUUGCUUACCAUUACAUUUUGCAUAAGAGCUCUAUGAUUGACAUUAAAGUCCACGGGCCAAUUCAUUUCUGAUAUAUCUUUCCGAUAUCUUGUUAUAAUAUAAAAGGCUGAACGUCAUCAUAGAAUUAUUAGGAAAAAAUAUAUAUGUUCAUUCUUUGUAAAAAUGUUAGAAGACUUGCAAGUUACCGAUUUUAUCAUUGCAUUGAUUUUAUUUAUUAUUGAAAAAAUGCUGAACGGCUAUCCUCAACAGUGUGUAUAGGCUAGAACUUUCAGUUUGCAUUUUAGGGUCAUGACGGCUUUCCCGUUGCUGUCAACAAACUUUAACCUUUUUCAUAACUUUUCAGAUCUUGGUGUAUUGUCUUCAUACUUGGCCACAACAACCCUUCAAAUAGACCAGACUAAACUUGACCUCCAUAUAAACAUUCAAGAUGGUCGGCCUACAUGUCAGAUUUGUGAAUGUGAACGGCAGGAUAUCGAUUUUAAGGAUGCUUUAGGGUCAAUGAGGAUGAAAUCAAGAGAGAUAAAGGCUAAAAUGUGAGACUGUCAAUCUGACAAACCUUGCAGUGAAUAAAUGGAAACAGAGGCGUUUGUAUGAUAGAACAGUAAUAGCAGGAGUGAUAAGGACAGAUGCAUGUAGAUGUGUCUUCAUGUCGGAAACACUACUAGAGAAAUUGAAAUAUUUGGGUUUUUCAAAACUUAAAAGAAAUUGGAAUACCAGGAGACUGCUUGCCCUUUGCAAUGUUGGAUGAUGUGAUGUCGAAAGCCUCAUGAAUAUAGUAACUUGACUUAAUCUAAUUAGAAAAAGAAAUGACAUUGAGGAGAAAACUAGUCACCAGUCUUUCACCAAGAACAUGAGAUAACUUUCCAAUAUUUGAAAUAUCAUAAUAUGUAUAGAACUUUAAUGAGCGAACAGUUUUUCACCAGGAAAAUAAGAUCACUUAUCUAUUUUUGAAAUAUGUAUGAACAGAACUCUAUCAACUUCAAGGUGAGAGUUUAUCACGAAGAACAUGAGAUAACCUAUGUAUGAACAGAACCACAUUUGUAUAUAGAGGCGCCAGUUCAUCACCAAGAAGAUGAGCUAACUUAUCAAUGUUUGAAAUCUGUUAUACCCCCGCACAACAAAGUUGUAAGGGGGGUAUACUGGAAUCAGCUUGUCCGGCCGUCGGGAGUUCGUCAGUUUUUUCUUGUCCUUCCAAUAACUUAAGAUUCCUUUGACCCACAGUCUUCAUAUUUGGCAUGGAGGUAAGUCAUGAUUAGUAGAUGACCUCUAUUAAUUUUGAGAACACCAAGUCAAAGGUCAAGGUCACAGGGUCUUGACUGAAGAAAGCUUUUCUGCCCAAUAACUUAAGAAUCCUUCGACCCACAGUCUUCAUUUUUGGCAUGGAGGUUAGUCAUGAUUAGUAGAUGACCCCUAUUUAUUUUCAGGUCACCAGGUCUAAGGUCAUGGUCACAGGGGCCUUGGCUAAUUAAAGCUUGUCCGCCCAAUUACCUAAGAAUCCUUUGACCCGUAGUCUUCAUAUUUGGCAUGGAGGUUAGUCAA